UACGAGAGGCCCAAACGUUAUUCGGAAUUACUGGGCUUAAAGAGUUCGUAGGCGGCGCAGAAAGUAGGGUGUGAAAGCCCUCGGCUUAACCGAGGAAUUGCGCUCUAAACUACUGUGCUUGAGGAACCUAGAGGUGAGCAGAACUGAUGGUGGAGCGGUGAAAUGCGUUGAUAUCAUCAGGAAUACCGGAGGCGAAGGGCGGCUCACUGGGGGUUUUCUGGACGCUGAGGAACGAAAGCCAGGGG
rnacentral:rRNA from 1 species